GGAAUCGCGCGCCCGGAGCACACGGCGCUGUAAAAAAGAAAGUGGGAGGCGCUUCCGAGGAGUAAAGUAUCAGCUGGGAGAGACCGGAGCACAUUCACUCGCUUCUCUGUGUGCGGACAGCAUCUGUCAACUCACCACAGCGCGCAAAACAGCGAGAAACACACCUGCUACACACGCCAGAGGACACGGCAUGCGAUGAACGAGCCGCCCGCGCGUCAGGAACAGCGUCCACAUCUGAGGAACAACACGGACAGACGCCUGGCAUCCCUGGAUAACUCGAUUUGGAGGUGCACCUGACGAUACUCCAAAGAUCUCAUUAGUCUGUGAUGAGCAUCAUCAUCCAGCGCAGACCCAAGACAGCGCCUCGUGUCCUCUAAGAGGAAGUGAUGUCACGACACCACCACCGCUUCGAGAGGGACUAUCGAGGGCCGUGGGAGCGUCGCGAGCGCCCCAGCAGCCUCCACAAUGGCGGAUGUUCCCCAGCAGCACCUCCACCUGUGGCUAACGGUAAUAACCGUCCGGGACUCCUUCCUCUGCCAGUGAUCCCAUCUCUCCUGCCUACACCAGUGACCAUCGCAGUGACCACGGCCAGCAACGAACUCAAUGUUAAACGCUCUGCUUCAUCCGCCGCCGCACCAGUUGUUAAGGUAAAUCUGCGUCCAAAUCAAGGGCGGAUUUAACCAAUAAGUGAAGUAGGCCAAGCAGCUGCUUAGGGCCCUGGGAAAUUUGGUGGCCCUAAUAAAUCAAUAAUUGUUAAAUACUUGUAAUUACUUUAUAUUCCUUUUUUUCACAUUCUUCAGAGAUAUAAAACACAAAUGUUUUGGCUCAAGGCCUUCCUCAGUGUGUGACACUGACAGUGACACCCUGAGGAAAGCAUUGAGCUGAAACGUUUAUGAAAAUAAUUAUACUGUUUACAAGACUAAUGCACCAAAAUUGCGUACUUCACUGCUAAACUUGGCCCCCAAUAAAUACCUAGAAGUAUAAAUUAAACCUAUAAUAUGGGUUUUCUGCAUAUUUUGUAUGGUGAGGGUCCAACAAAUAACAUUUUAAUGUAAUUAUAACAUCUUCACAAAUUUGUGGACACAAAAUCAUGGAGCAGUCAUGCAGUCAA